rnacentral:rRNA from 1 species
UGGGAGCUUGCUCCCUGAUGUUAGCGGCGGACGGGUGAGUAACACGUGGGUAACCUGCCUGUAAGACUGGGAUAACUCCGGGAAACCGGGGCUAAUACCGGAUGGUUGUUUGAACCGCAUGGUUCAAACAUAAAAGGUGGCUUCGGCUACCACUUACAGAUGGACCCGCGGCGCAUUAGCUAGUUGGUGAGGUAACGGCUCACCAAGGCGACGAUGCGUAGCCGACCUGAGAGGGUGAUCGGCCACACUGGGACUGAGACACGGCCCAGACUCCUACGGGAGGCAGCAGUAGGGAAUCUUCCGCAAUGGACGAAAGUCUGACGGAGCAACGCCGCGUGAGUGAUGAAGGUUUUCGGAUCGUAAAGCUCUGUUGUUAGGGAAGAACAAGUACCGUUCGAAUAGGGCGGUACCUUGACGGUACCUAACCAGAAAGCCACGGCUAACUACGUGCCAGCAGCCGCGGUAAUACGUAGGUGGCAAGCGUUGUCCGGAAUUAUUGGGCGUAAAGGGCUCGCAGGCGGUUUCUUAAGUCUGAUGUGAAAGCCCCCGGCUCAACCGGGGAGGGUCAUUGGAAACUGGGGAACUUGAGUGCAGAAGAGGAGAGUGGAAUUCCACGUGUAGCGGUGAAAUGCGUAGAGAUGUGGAGGAACACCAGUGGCGAAGGCGACUCUCUGGUCUGUAACUGACGCUGAGGAGCGAAAGCGUGGGGAGCGAACAGGAUUAGAUACCCUGGUAGUCCACGCCGUAAACGAUGAGUGCUAAGUGUUAGGGGGUUUCCGCCCCUUAGUGCUGCAGCUAA